rnacentral:rRNA from 1 species
CCUGGUUGAUCCUGGUAGUAGUCAUAUGCUUGUCUCAAAGAUUAAGCCAUGCAUGUGUAAGUAUGAACAAAUUCAGACUGUGAAACGGCGAAUGGCUCAUUAAAUCAGUUAUAGUUUGUUUGAUGGUAUCUACUACUCGGAUAACCAUAGUAAUUCUAGAUCUAAUACGUGCAACAAACCCCGACUUCUGGAAGAGAUCCAUUUAUUAGGUAAAAGGUCGACGCGGGCUCUGCCCAUUGCUGCGAUGAUUCAUGAUAACUCGACAGAUCACAUGGCUACCAUGGUGAUGAUGGGUGACGGAGAAUUAGGGUUCCAUUCCAGAGAGGGAUCCUGAGAAAUGGCUACCACAUCCAAGGAAGGCAGCAGGCGCGUAAAUUACCCAAUCCUGACAAGGGGAGGUAGUGACAAUAAAUAACCAUACCGGGCUCAAUGAUUCUGGUAAUUGGAAUGAGUACAAUCUAAAUCCCUUAACGAGGAUCCAUUAGAGGACAAGUCUGGUUCCAGCAGCCUCGGUAAUUCCAGCUCCAAUAGCGUAUAUUUAAGUUAUUGCAGUUAAAAAGCUCGUAGUUGGACUUUGGGAUGGACCCUCCGGUCCGCCUAUGUUGUGCACCGAUCGUCUCGUCCCUUCUGUCGGCGAUGCACUCCUGGCCUUAACUGGUCGGGUCGUGCCUUUGACGCUGUUACUUUUAAGAAAUUAGAGUGCUCAAAGCAAGCCUACGCUCUGUAUACAUUAGCAUGGGAUAACAUUAUAGGAUUUCAGUCCUAUUACAUUGGCCUUCGGGAUUGGAGUAAUGAUUAACAGGGACAGUCGGGGGCAUUCGUAUUUCAUAGUGAGAGGUGAAAUUCUUUGAUUUAUGAAAGACGAACAAGUUCGAAAGCAUUUUCCAAGGAUGUUUUCAUUAAUCAAGAACAAAAUUUGAGGGUUUGAAGGCGAUCAGAUACCGUCCUAGUCUCAACCAUAAACGAUGUCGACCAAGGAUCAGCGGAUGUUGUUUUUAGGACUCCACCGACACCUUAUGAGAAAUCAAAGUUUUUGGGUUCCGGGGGGAGUAUGGUCGCAAGGCUGAAACUUAAUGGAAUUGAUGGAAGGGCACCACCAGGAGUGGAGCCUGCGGCUUAAUUUGAUUCUACACGGGGAAACUUACCAGGUCCAGACAUAUUAAGGAUUGACAGACUGAGAGCUCUUUCUUGAUUCAAUGGGUGGUGGUGCAUGGCCAUUCUUAGUUGGUGGAGCGAUUUGUCUAGUUAAUUUCGUUAACGAACGAGACCUCAGCCUGCUAACUAGCUAUGCGGAGGUAUCCCUUCGCGGCCAGCUUCUUAGAGGGACUACGACCUUUUAGGCCGCGAAAGUUUGAGGCAAUAACAGGUCUGUGCUGCCCUUAUAUGUUUUGGGCUGCACGCGCACUACACAGAUGUAUUCAACGAGUUCAUAGCCUUGGCCGACAGGCUCGGGUAAUCUUUGAAAUUUUAUCGUGAUGGCGAUAGAUCAUUGAAAUUGUUGGUCUUCAACGAGGAAUUCCUAGUAAGCGCAAGUCAUCAGCUCGCGUUGACUAUAUCCCUGCCCUUUGUACACACCGCCCGUCGCUCCUACCGAUUGAAUCAUCCGGUGAAAUAUUCGGAUCGCGGCGACGUGGACAGUUUGCUUCCCGCGAUGUUGCGAGAAGUCUAUUGAACCUUAUCAUUUAGAGGAAGGAGAAAUUGUAAUAAGGUUUCCAUAGGAGAACCUGCGGAAG